CUCUUCCUCAGUAUGAGUGACCUGAUGUUGGACCAGCUGUGAACAGUGACUGAAGGCCUUCCCACAUUCCCUACAUUCAUAUGGCUUCUCACCCGUGUGGAUUCUGCAGUGGACACUGAGGUGGGAGACCCGUGUGAAGGCCCUGCCACACACCUUACACUGGAUGCAUUUUCUGAUAAAAAGUAAAGGAUACUUCCUGCUUCAAAGUGGGCAUCUCCUCGUGACUGUCUAACGUUUGGCUGAAAUGGCCGUCUGGACUUCCUGGUUGUCUGUCAAACUGGCUUCUGCACUCCCAGUCAUCCUGGGAACUCGAGCACGCAAGACUGUAGCGUGCAAGGCCUUCUGUUAACUCCCACUGUGAGGAUUCGCCGUCAUAAACAUCCCACUUUGGAGACAGGGCUCUGGUAUAAUAUUCGGACUCCAGUACUGCAAAAGAAGAAAUACAGUAUCGGCUAAACAGUUAGAAAGUGAGGCAAUAAAAAAGAAAAAGGAAUAAUAAGAUAAUGACACGGGUAUAAUCAAAAAGAGGUUAUAAGAGUAGUUCAUGUAUUUGGGGAUGGCAGUGUGCAACGGUAGGUACCAUUAUUGUCCCGAUUGUCAUGUUUUGAAAUUGUUUUGUUUUUCUCUCUGAAAUAAAACAGAUUUGAAAAAAACAAAAUAUAAAAAUAAAAUGCUAGUGUAGCUCCAAUUCACCUCUGAACUACGUUUUUAAAAAAAAAAAAAUGUAUGAGAGGGGCUGGGGAUUUAGCUCAGCGGCAUAAGCGCCUGCCUUGCAAGCAGGCAGUCGUGUGUUCGAUCCCUAGUACCGAUAAAAACGAAAAACACACAAAAAAAAGAAAGAAAAAAAAAAACUGAAUGGGAGCCGGGCGCAGUGGCUCACGCCUGUAAUCCUAGCACUUGGGAGGCUGAGGUGGGAGGAUUGUUGCGAGUUUGAGACCAACCUGGGCUACAAAGAGAGCUCAAGGCCAGCCUGAACUGCAUAGCAAGACCCUGUCUCAAAAAAGACAAAAAAAAAAAAAAAAAAAAAAAAACUGAAUGGUUUCUCUGAAA